GAUGAACGCUGGCGGCGUGCCUAAUACAUGCAAGUCGAGCGAAUGGAUUAAGAGCUUGCUCUUAUGAAGUUAGCGGCGGACGGGUGAGUAACACGUGGGUAACCUGCCCAUAAGACUGGGAUAACUCCGGGAAACCGGGGCUAAUACCGGAUAACAUUUUGAACCGCAUGGUUCGAAAUUGAAAGGCGGCUUCGGCUGUCACUUAUGGAUGGACCCGCGUCGCAUUAGCUAGUUGGUGAGGUAACGGCUCGCCAAGGCAACGAUGCGUAGCCGACCUGGGAGGGUGAUCGGCCACGCUGGGACUGAGACACGGCCCAGACUCCUACGGGAGGCAGCAGUAGGGAAUCUUCCGCAAUGGACGAAAGUAUGACGGAGCAACGCCGCGUGAGUGAUGAAGGCUUUCGGGUCGUAAAACUCUGUUGUUAGGGAAGAACAAGUGCUAGUUGAAUAAGCUGGCACCUUGACGGUACCUAACCAGAAAGCCACGGCUAACUACGUGCCAGCAGCCGCCGUAA
rnacentral:rRNA from 1 species